rnacentral:rRNA from 1 species
GACGAACGCUGGCGGCGUGCUUAACACAUGCAAGUCGAACGGAAAGGCCCUGCUUUUGUGGGGUGCUCGAGUGGCGAACGGGUGAGUAACACGUGAGUAACCUGCCCUUGACUUUGGGAUAACUUCAGGAAACUGGGGCUAAUACCGGAUAGGAGCUCCUGCUGCAUGGUGGGGGUUGGAAAGUUUCGGCGGUUGGGGAUGGACUCGCGGCUUAUCAGCUUGUUGGUGGGGUAGUGGCUUACCAAGGCUUUGACGGGUAGCCGGCCUGAGAGGGUGACCGGCCACAGUGGGACUGAGAUACGGCCCAGACUCCUACGGGAGGCAGCAGUGGGGAAUAUUGCACAGUGGGCGGAAGCCUGAUGCAGCAACGCCGCGUGCGGGAUGACGGCCUUCGGGUUGUGAACCGCUUUCGCCUGUGACGAAGCGUGAGUGACGGUAAUGGGUAAAGAAGCACCGGCUAACUACGUG